rnacentral:rRNA from 1 species
GACGGAGGGUGCUAGCGUUGUUCGGAAUUACUGGGCGUAAAGGGCGCGUAGGCGGCUCUUGAAGUCGGAUGUGAAAGCCCGGGGCUCAACCUCGGAACGGCAUCCGAUACUCUUGGGCUUGAGACCGGAAGAGGUGAGUGGAAUACCCAGUGUAGAGGUGAAAUUCGUAGAUAUUGGGUGGAACACCGGUGGCGAAAGCGGCUCACUGGUCCGGUUCUGACGCUGAGGCGCGAAAGCGUGGGGAGCAAACAGG